GACGAACGCUGGCGGCGUGCCUAAUACAUGCAAGUCGAACGCUGAAGGAGGAGCUUGCUUCUCUGGAUGAGUUGCGAACGGGUGAGUAACGCGUAGGUAACCUGCCUGGUAGCGGGGGAUAACUAUUGGAAACGAUAGCUAAUACCGCAUAAGAGUAGAUGUCGCAUGACAUUUGCUUAAAAGGUGCAAUUGCAUCACUACCAGAUGGACCUGCGUUGUAUUAGCUAGUUGGUGAGGUAACGGCUCACCAAGGCAACGAUACAUAGCCGACCUGAGAGGGGGAUCGGCCACACUGGGACUGAGACACGGCCCAGACUCCUACGGGAGGCAGCAGUAGGGAAUCUUCGGCAAUGGCCGGAAGUCUGACCGAGCAACGCCGCGUGAGUGAAGAAGGUUGUCGGAUCGUAAAGCUCUGUUGUAAGAGAAGAACGAGUGUGAGAGUGGAAAGUUCACACUGUGACGGUAUCUUACCAGAAAGGGACGGCUAACUACGUG
rnacentral:rRNA from 1 species